GUGCAUUUUAAGUAAAAUUGAAGUAUAAUAGCUUUUCUUUUAAUGUUACACUAAAUAUUUAGGUCAAUAAAGUUUAAACAUAUCUUGUAACUUUGAACAUCCAGUCUUGAAAUGAAACCUUAGUUUCGCUGCCAUUUUCUCUUUUCUUUUUGAUUUUUUUGCAAAACGCGUGCUCGUGCUCAUUCCCCAGCCGCAUCACACAUGAAUCAGCGCAAUAUCAGCAUAUUUCCAGGCCCGUGUUUUAUUACGCCCUGGUUAAAACAAUGGACCGCCGUUCAGGGACACGAAUUUCGAGGGUAUGCCAAGAAAAAAGAUUCA